GUAUAGAAAAAUCAUAAGCUAGUUUUUAAUUCUGGAAUACUUGAUGUUUAAACGUUUAUUCUUCUCAAAUUUGUUGGCAGUAAACCCAGUGCGCCGAAAACAGCCAGGUAUCUCUCCUUCAAGGCAAUCUGCCCAUCGUUAUUCAAAGUGCCAGAGGUUUAAAAAGUGUCUUAGCAUCAUCAUAUUUCAGACUGAAUUGGUUGCUCAAAACAGAAAUCAAAAAGAAGGUAAGAGAGAAAAGAAGAAGAUGAAGAAUUCUGCAAGAGAAAGUAGAGGCAGAGAAAGAAAGGAGAAAAAGAGGAAAUACCAUGGCAGAGAUGAGUCAACAGAUCAUUCCAGGUCUCCAGAUCAGUUUCAUUCUGAGGCUACCUUUGUUUGUUUGUUGUUUCAUUUUGUUUACGUUAUAUCUCUUUUUUGUCCCUGUCACUUCUUGUCACUUCAAUCAACCCAUCUGGUAAGUUCAUGGCCAACCCAGUCACUGGAUGCAACCCACGGUGCUUCAUUUAGACUCUUUGUUGGCCUGUAGAUCUAGGGCAUAUAUUACCAGCACUUCUUGUACUUACUCCAGCUGGAAAUGGGGAGUGAAUGCUCUCCUUUUUCCCUCCUCCACCUCUGACCCUCCUUUAGGCCUUUCUUGGUGUUCCUGGCCAUCUGCCUGACAUCCAGAGUUGCCUGCAUUCUGACAAGACAGAGUGGCUCACCUAGCUUCAGAACAACAUCAGAAGUGCCAACACAAAGUAGACCAGAUACACUAUCCAAAAUACCCCUCCGUGGUUAUUCCAAACCAGGACGAAGCCAGGAGUUGUUCCAAAAAUAUAUCACUAUAUUUUGGCCUGAGUGUCACUUCCCCACUUGGCAAGCUAGGGCUAGAGAAAUUGGAACAGAGAUUUCCUGUUAGCCUGUCUUAUAUUCUCUCCUUUCAGAUAUACAUCCUUUCAGAUANGAACAGAGAUUUCCUGUUAGCCUGUCUUAUAUUCUCUCCUUUCAGAUAUACAUCUUUUACUUGUCCCAUCUCUAAUAUGACACAGUUGCCUCAGCUUUUACAAUUAUUUAUAGCGUAUCAGAAAGGAGCAGAAGCUCUACAUUUUGUCUUUGAUCUGCCCCAGAAGAAUUUCAGCCAAACUGUUCCCUUCACACUAAACAAAUGUUAUUCAGUGAAUAAAUGAUC
rnacentral:lncRNA from 1 species